rnacentral:rRNA from 1 species
GACAGAGGAUGCAAGCGUUAUCCGGAAUGAUUGGGCGUAAAGCGUCUGUAGGUGGCUUUUUAAGUCCGCCGUCAAAUCCCAGGGCUCAACCCUGGACAGGCGGUGGAAACUACCAAGCUGGAGUACGGUAGGGGCAGAGGGAAUUUCCGGUGGAGCGGUGAAAUGCGUAGAGAUCGGAAAGAACACCAACGGCGAAAAGGCAACUCCUGCUGGGCCGACACUGACACUGAGAGACGAAAGCUAGGGGAGCGAAUGGG